rnacentral:rRNA from 1 species
UACGUAGGGUGCGAGCGUUAAUCGGAAUUACUGGGCGUAAAGCGUGCGCAGGCGGUUCGUUGUGUCGGCGGUGAAAGCCCCGGGCUCAACCUGGGAACUGCAUUUGUGACUGUAGAGCUGGAGUACGGCAGAGGGGGAUGGAAUUCCGCGUGUAGCAGUGAAAUGCGUAGAUAUGCGGAGGAACACCGAUGGCGAAGGCAAUCCCCUGGGCCUGUACUGACGCUCAUGCACGAAAGCGUGGGGAGCAAACAGG